UACGUAGGGACCGAGCGUUGUCCGGAAUCAUUGGGCGUAAAGAGCGUGUAGGCGGCCUUUUAAGUCCUGCGUGAAAUCCCUGCGGCUCAACCGCAGACGGUCGUGGGAAACUGGAAGGCUAGAGUGCGGGAGAGGAGAGUGGAAUUCCUGGUGUAGCGGUGAAAUGCGCAGAUAUCAGGAGGAACACCGAUGGCGAAGGCAGGUCUCUGGGCCACUACUGACGCUGAGAAGCGAAAGCAUGGGGAGCGAACAGG
rnacentral:rRNA from 1 species